rnacentral:lncRNA from 1 species
AAAAAGAAAAAGCGAAAAAAGAAAUUGAAAGAGAGCUUGAAAAGAAAUCAAGUGAAAAAGAAAGAGAGUCUGUAAAAGAAACGAGUGAAGUGAGUAAUCACGAAAAAGAGAGGAAUUUUUUUGCUAACCCCCUUUCGAAAUUACCUUGUGAUUUUUCUUUGUUUCAGGUUUGCAAGAUUCCAUCCACGGAUUGGUUCCAACUUCAUUACCUUUCUA